rnacentral:lncRNA from 1 species
GCCUGGACUAGGGAGUCGCCGCUGUCGCUGUCGCCGUCGCUGUUGCUGCGGAGGGCGCAGACCUGGUGAUGUUUCCAGUCUUUGGCUACUGUAUCCCAGCACAGGAUGCUGCUUUGUACUACCAGUGCCCACAAGCUUGAGACUGUUUAUGACCAUAAGUUUCCAAAGAUGUCUAUCAAAGAAUCUUGUGGAAAGGAAGAAAAGUCUCAGAAAAAACAGACUACCUCUUCACCAACUUUUGAUGAAGACAAGAAAGAGGGAGAAAUCUCAGCAGGUUCUACUAGUUCAGAACACUGUGUUAAGCCUGUUUCAACCAAGAAGAGAAAACUGAAACCAGAUGAUACAGACAUUGUAUACUAUAAUACAAACAGAAAACACAGUAUGAAAAGAUGGAUUGAGUGAUGAGAACAAUGAUGAUCGAGUAUUAAAGUGCUGUCUUC